GUUCUUGACAGUAUCCUUGGAGGGUGGUGACCUGAAGGGCAGAAAAACACUCUCUCAUCAGGUAUGAACCUGCAGCCCUUCGGUGAAGGCAGGCUGAGGCAAUUUUGAAAGGAAUGAGCGCAGCUGUGUUCCAUGAAUAAGGGCGUUGCAACGGCAGGCUGCAGAGGAGGAAUGCUGGGUCCUGCUCUCCUAAGUGGGAUGGAAUCCCUGAACCUUCAGCACAAGAGGCUUGUACUUACCUGAGCAGCUGCAAGCUUGCCUGAUGAACACUCCUCGUUCCCGGCCUCAUGCUUUUGGAGUCAGAAGGACCUGGGUAGUAGGAGGAAUUGAUUAGAUACUACCUUCCCCUCCCAUGUACCUGCUGGCAGAGGCCUGGCCACUUGUGGACAAUCUCCCAUGGCUCUCUACCUACUCAUCUCUGAAGACCCUUUAAAUUAGAAGACCCAAGGAGAGACCUGGCUAUGAUUGGAACAUGCAGCAGAUGGUACGAGUUUUGGAGCUGGCUGGGGAUAUGAAUUGUGACCUGUGCCACAAGGAAUAUCCACGCGACAGCUUCGUGUGUUGCUCACCCUUGAGUGUUCAGGACAGAAACUAGUUCUCAGCUACCACGUGUUGGAAUACAGAUGUCGCUGACAUAGUAGCUCCCUGUGUGGAGCCAACAAGAGUUGGCCAGUGGAGAUGUGCCAUCGAGGAUUACUGAAGUGCUCUGAAGUGCCUCAGGCUAUUUUCAUCACCAGCCUGUGACCCAUCUGUCCUGUCUCCCAGGCACAUGAACACACCUGACAAGCCCCUGUCCCUUCAUGUACCUACCUGAGUACUUCCACCAGAGCAGGCAGGCCCAGGGGCAGGUGUUUGGCACUGGGUGCCGCUGUGGAAUUUGCUCUAUAGAGAUGACUCAGCAUCCAAGCAUGUGCGGCCCAGUGCCAAAGGCCCAUGGCAGGGAUGUGGGCUGCCUGGGCAGGUUCCACUGGUCCAGGCAUUACUGAGAAUGUUCUACCAGGUUCUCUGAAUGUGUCUUGGCACUGGAUCUGGUCUCCAAGUGAAGAGCCCCCAAAUCCAUUCCAAGGCUUCAUCUGAGCAACUUCUCUCCAUAGCCCCAGGUUAUUCCCGCUCCCCACUGCUUCUGUGUCCCCCCUCCACUAUCCAUCACUGCCUGGCUUGGGACAUCCAAGGUCUCAAAGUCAGAGAAGCAAUUCCCAAAACACAGGAAACAUGAUUUGUCACCGCUUCUGAGUACCAGAGUGCUUCUUAGAGGUCUUGCUGGACCGGGCUAAGCAUCACUGACUUCCCUCCCUGCCUAGCCAGAGGCCCAUGGCUUCGUGCUGAGUCAAGACUUGUGGCAUUAUGACUAAGUUAGCUACUUUUCUGUUGUGAUAAAAUACCAUGACCAAAGCAACUUAGAAGAAAGCAUUUAAUUGGGAUUAUGGUUCCAGACAAACAGAUACACCCAGAGAGUUGACUUUUCGGUGAUUCUAGAGCAUAUCAAGUUGACUCAACAGAUGAGUGUUUUAUAGGGAAAGGGGUUGAACUAAGCCUGAAUUCCAUAUCAGGGUGUACUUCACAGCAAAGGCCAUGAACAAAACCUGGAUCCCACAUCACAACAGAGAGGGAUGGCAGGAGCCUGGAUCCUACAUCAUUGCAGAAAGGGAUGCCAGGAGCCUGGACCCCAGUAAUCAGUGUGCUGUUCUCUGCAGCUUCAAUCUUUCUUGGAGAGGGAGAAGAAGCACCUGGAUACAGACCACUACCCCCUGCACCUAUAAUACACUCUCAGGUCACCCUAUGACCCUAUGGGUCCCUUUAACAUCACUAUGGACUCAUCCUCCGAGGUCACUGACAACACUGCAACUCCGGUGCAGGAUGUUGAGGCAAAGAGGGACCGGGGUAGGGGCUGCCUUUUGAGGAUGGAACUGUUUACUUCCCACAGAAAACAGGACCCUUGGGACCCUUUUCUACACUCUAUAAUAUGAAGGGCCCUCAUGCAUUUUCAGUAUUUCUAUCUCUGUCUCCCAGUAUAACUUAACUUACUAUCUCAAAAUACAAUGGCAUGCAAAGGCGUUCUUUUAACCAACAGUAAUGAAAUAGCAUGUGUCUGUAUUUAUGGGCUUAUCCUCACUGCUACCAUCAACAUCAUCUUUGGAUAUAAAAACAUUAAGCUGGGCUGUGGUGCCACAUGCCUGUCAUCCUAGCUCUUUGGAGGCAGAGACAGGCAGAUCUCUGUUUAAGGCCAUCCUGGUAUAGAGAAUGUUCCGGAACAGUCAAGGCUACACAGAGAAACCCUGUCUCAAAAACAAAACAAAACAAAAAAGGACAAAAAAAAUUUAACUAACAUAGUCUGUGCACAUAUUUAAAAUAUGUGACAAAAACAAAAAACCUCCAAAAUAAAAAAAAAAAACACCAAAAAUAAAAUAAUAAAACCUCCUGUCCAUGUACCUCAUUUUUGUACACUGGAGAGAUACUAGCAGAAACACGUACCCACGUGCUCAUGUACUUACAUACUUACACACACAACACACAUGUACUCAUGUAAACACAAUGCAUUUACACUAACAUUCAUAUUCUACACACACUUAGAUCUAUCUACUUAGGUAACCCUCACACUCUCAAACACAUGCAUCCAUACACACACUCACACUCAUGUUCAGCUCACUCACAAUCACUCGAGCACACUUUGAACACGCCUUCACACUCACCCCUUCUCACUCACUUGCGCUCACGUGCGUCUGUGAAUGAAUACUCACUCACCACGUACUGUAAUAUCACACCAAAUCAUAAGGCUGGGACUGCAGAAAUGGCUCCUGACUUCACAAACAUUGUCAUCUCCCUCACGGACUGAUAGUUCAUAGAGCAGCUUUUAAAUAGUACAGCCUCCAUUGAUAACUAGAGGAAGGGAAGAAGAAGAGGAGAAAGGAGAGCAGGACAGAUCAAGUCAGAACCUAACUUUCUCUGACGCAAUUUGUGGUGCAGCCUGGGGCUGCUGUGUCACGUCUCACUUCCCUUGCUGCUAAACGGGGCACACGUGUGACCAGAACACUUGCUGCCAGGGCUGUUAGCACAGAGGGUGGAGUCAAGAUCAUGAUUAAUCUUCCUGCCUGGCAUUUUUGGAGGGGAAUAUCACAUUGUGAUUUAAAGCAAGGAGGCUGGGGUCAAUGGGCUUGAAAUAACUGGCCUCGACCAACAUGUUUGACCUGUCUGAACCUUGACCUCCUAUGUACACUUGAGAACAACACCACCAUAUCCAGCAGGAGCAGAUGAGUGCAUUGUGUAGUGUGAGCAGCACAGAUGAGCAUUGGCACGACAGGCCUUGACAGUGCACAGUGGACAAACCACACCAUUAUGUAGCAAAGGGUAUUGGUCUAGACCUUUAUCACACCGAGGCCUUCCUAGCCACAGACACCUUACCUUGUACAGCUCAACUGAGUAGGUCCGGUCCCACUGCAAUGCCUGUUCCCAGUAGGCUUUGAGAGACUUGGAAAGACUAUCUAGAGCUCUGUGAGGAACGACAAAACUUCUACCCUGAUAAUGGUGCAGGUCCUUUGACUGGUGCCUCCAUAUGUACAGUAGGGACUAGGAUCUGUGGACCUCAGCCCCUGGCCUAUGGGGACAUAAAAGGCCUCGGGUACAGGAGUGAAAUGACAAAGGAGAGUCCUGAGAACAGUGAAGGCACUAGAGAGAGCUAGAGCCCAUGGGAGGAGGGACUUAGUCUGAGGAGACAGGCCCCUGGUAUUUCAGGAGAGCCAUGGCUUCCCCUUAGCAUGUCUCUGCCUUGUGUAUGCUGAGACCAAGACUCUGGCUGCCCAUUCUGUCCAAGAGAAAGGAUUCACAUUGUUACACACGUGUCCUUCUUAAAGGAACCUCUUCACUGAAGAUCCGUGGGAGGCCUGAGGGAAGUGGUGAUGGCAUCCACCUAGGGUUUGCCUUGUGGAGGAUCUGGUAUCACCUACUUCCUUGUCCAAAGUACCUCAUCUGUUCAGGAUGCAGGACUAGAGCAGCCCAGACUCCCUUAAGCUGAGACACAUGGGACUUUCUUCUAGCUGACUUAUGAUGCCCUGUAUUCAUUUGCCCCCAAUGCUAACUCUAGCCAAUCUUCCCAAGCCUUGUGAAGCCUACUGGGAUCAGACACUGUAGUCCUCCUCCCCUCCAGGGUUCUCACCUGUCUUCCCAUUGGGUGUUCAAGGAAAUCGGGAUUAAGAUAUGCACAUCUGCAGGGUCAUUACCUGCUUUCUCAGUGGCCUCUGGCAUCACUAAUACUAUUUAAGAUGACCAUGUAUAUUUGAGCCAUCUGUGCUUAAUAUUACCCCAAAGAAAGAAAAAUCUGAAAAAAAAGGGAAAAAAUUAAGAUAAGGGGCCGGAGAGAUGUCAGUCGUUAAGAGCACUGGCUGCUCUUCCAGAGGACCUGUGCUCAAUUCUCAGCACCCACAUGGUAGCUAACAACCAUCUGUAACUCCAGUUCCAGGGGUUCUGACAUCUUCAGACAUACGUGCUGGCAGAACACCAAUGAACAUCAAAUAAAAAGAAAUGAUUUUUUUAUAAAAAAAAUAAAACUACCUUUUUGUUCCUUUAUAAUCCUUCAUUUCUAAGAAGACAAAGAGACAUAUUGUGAGCUCUAAUGUCCUGACUCAGCAACGCCAUUUACACGGCAUGGAGUGACAGUGACCAACUGGUGGCACCGUGUGGAAAUAGAACUCUGUGUCUCCAAGGGAAUUUCCUAAUAUCCCCGAAUUCUAAGUGGGAACUAGUUGUCACUUGAAGGGUCAAUGACACUUAUUUCUGGCAAAGUUGCUCUUUCAAAGUUCCGUAAUCAGCAAUAAACUUUGUAUAUAAAAAACAACUUCAGUUGCUUGCUUUGAUAUGUGAUCUACUAAAAUCCAAGGCCAGAUCCCAGUGAGGCUUCUCAAAGAAAAGGCCUUCACUUCUAGUCCAUCAUCUAAUCAAUACCCCUGUUAAAACAAGGAUUGUUUUAUGGUUAAUAGUCACUUUGAAUUUCCCAUUGUCCCAACUGAUUGAUAUAAUUUCUUAGUUAUUUCUCAUAAUAAAAUUUCUCUUUAAAGGCCUUAUUUGUCCCAGACAAGAGAUAAGAAAACUGAAUCCACAGAACAGUUAACUAACUUGCCCAAGCUCAAAUAGUUGGUAAGAGUUUGAAUUCAAAUCUGCUGGCCGUAUCUGGAAAUGUCUAUGAGGACGUUUACAGAAUGGGUUAAUUGGGAAGGGAAGACCCACCCUAAUUUGGGUAACACAAUUCUGUGGACUGUGGUCCUGGAUUGUAUAGAAAACAGAGGGCAGGCUGAGCUUUCAUUGCUUUCUGACUCCUGGUUCCAGAUGCACCGUGACCAGUAGCCUCACGUUCCUGGUGCCUGCCGGGAUGCGCAGUACUCUAGAACUGUAAAUGCCAAAAUAAAACCCUUUCCUCCUUAAGUCGCUUUUGUUAUACACUUUGUUGAAGCAAUGAAGAAAGUGACUCAGGAAAUUGGUAAUGACAAGUCUGGCUGUUGCUGUUGUUAACCUGACCAUUUUGGUUCUUAAGGCUUUGGAACUGAUUUCCUAGGGAAAUGGGGAAGAACUUUUGGCUAGAAAAUGCCCUAGAACCCUCCAGACACAACUUAACAGAGUGUUCUGGUGGGAGUUCGGAGUGCCAGCCUGCCAAGAGAAAUGUGACUAGUAGAGCCCUAGUUCAUGAGGUUUCAGAGAGGAACACCUUGUGCAGCUCUUUGGAACUCUUUGGAACUCUCCGGAACUCUCCGGAACUCUCUGGAACUCUCCGGAACUCUCUGGAACUCUUCGGAAAUUCAGGUUAUAUCUGGAGAAGAGUCUGACUGCCUUUUCCUGGUAUCCUGAGGACUUGAAUAAGGCCAAGUUCAGAAGUAAAGGACUAAUUUGUCUGGUAGAGGAAAAGUUCAUGAUGUUUGGGGGGGGGUAGGAGAGAGGGGAGGGGAAGAGGGGAGAAGGGAGACAGAGAUGAAAAGAGAACACACACACACAGAGAGAGAGAGAGAGAGAGAGAGAGAGAGAGAGAGAGAGAGAGAGAGAGAGAGACCAAGAGACAUAAAGAGAAGAGCAGGAGCAGAAAUUUAAAAAAAAGUUGUGCACUUUGACGGGCGAAAGUAACAAGCUUAAAGUUACAGAAAAGGAAGUUGUGAAUGCAGAUGUAUUCAUUAAGGAGUUUAGUACCAUUAAAGAGAAGCCUGAACUUUCCACUGGGUCAAUAAGAAAGAUUCCCGAGGGAAAGACCCAAUUUAAAAAAAAUACAUUUGUGAAAAUGUGAAUUCAUUUGAAAAGAGUCUUUUCGUGUAACAUACUGCUGAAAGAGUUCAAUGCUUGAAAUAAUGGCAUAAGAGCAAAAGGAUCACCACAGCGUCCAUCCACGGGGCUCUCCUGACAGCCGGACUGGGCAGUGUCACCUCUGAGGUGCUGAUUUUGAAACCAUGAACCAUGUAAGACUAAGGGAGUCAUCAAGUGUGGCCUCCAAACCCAGACAGUUGCUGAGGUCAGGCAAUGUGUGGCAGUGUCAAAAUUACUGUAGAAAGUCCCUAAGAAGCCAUUACACGAAGCUUUGGAGAGACCCAAGCUGCAAUGGAGACCCCACGAUGUUGAAACUAUCCGGACUAAGGAAAUCUGCCGAGAAACCUUCAUGUAAGAAGAGUCAGGCCCUGUGUGCUUCAGGCCAUAGAGCUAGAGAGGUAGGGCUGUCUAAGCCCUUUGGAGGCCAAAUGAUUCCAUUGUAAGCACCAAAUGUCAGAGCUGAAGGGUUUAUUGUUUUCCUUGUUGGGUUUAGGACUGAAUUUGGUCCAAUCUUACCUUCAUAAUGCCCUGAUUCUACCCUUUAGUGAUGGUAAUGUUUAUUCUCUGUCAUCGCAUGUUGAAAAUAAAUGAUUUGCUUUUGAUAUUAUAGGACCUAUAAUACAGGCUGAUUCUCAGAAGAGACUCUGCACUUAUAUUUUUUCAAGGGUGUUGAAACUGUAAAAUUUGUGGGAAUUCUUGUAGUUGGGUUGAAUGUAUUUUGCACGGACAUGGCCAUGAGCCAUUCAAAGCCAUCAUGUUUGGGUGUCAGGUUGACAAGAUGUAGACUUGUCAACUUGAUAUUGUUGGCUUCACAGGAUCUGACUCACCUAGAACACACCUCAGUAUUUCUGUAAGAGGUUUGCAAAUUAGGUUCAUUGAGGUGGUAAGAAAUACCCUAAAUGUGGUCAGCAUAGGCUGGGGGCCACACUCCAUAAAAAUGAGAGCUAGCUAGGCGCCAGUAUUCAUUGCUCCCUGCUUCCUAACUGCGGAUAUAACGUGAUCUGUCUCAAGCUCCUACUGCUAUGCUUCUGUGAUGGACUGUGGCCCCUCAAACUGUAAGUCAAAACACAUCUUCCCUCCCUAAACUGCUUGUGAGACGCAUGGUGUUUUGUUGUCACAGCAACAAGAAGUAGUUAGGGAAUCUAUUCCACCCCCUUACCUCUCAGGGAAGUGGCUCUAUUCUUUUCCAUAACACCUGUAGUGGGAGAAUUAAUUUUUCACCAUACAUAAUGAGGUAGCAGAACUUAACUGUUCUCUGUGGGAUUCAUGUUCUUUCUCGUGUCUUUCUCCACAAGUAUUAAGGUUUGAAUAUCUCCUUUCCUAAGUCAGCUCAGCUUGCUGGUGCAGUUACAGGUCAUCAGAGCUCCGUGGCAGAUGUGACAGAUGCUCUGUUUCCUUCAGUAGUUAGUGGAUGAGCCAGCUUCAUCCUUCUGGACAUCAAUGACGACAUCACUACAGUAUCACAAUCCCGGUGCUGACUCAGCAACUUGGCGCCAUUCCCCAUGGACAUCCAAUGCUCGGGGGGGGGGGGGGGAUCUAGACAUCAGCUUUUCCUGUGGUGGAGUUCAUCCUGCGUUCUCUCCUUACAUACAGUGUGCUGAGUCGAAGAAGGCUCUUACAGAGGGGACAUCUUGGAGAAGUUUUGUAGGAUAAAGGGCAAAGAAAACCCACCAAUCCCUGAACAGGAAAAUCCACCAAUCCCUGAGCUUGCCCAUGCUCAUGAAUUGAAAUCCCACCAAUCUUCACCCUAGAAAUCUCCACCCUGGAAUGCUCUCCCCCACCCCCCAAGAAAUCCUAUAUAAGCCCUGCCUUUGCUCAGUUCCCCCUGCUUCUUGCCUGAGCAGAAGCAGCCACCAUCCUGGGUUUUUUUCCUUCUCAAUAAAUUUCUCGUAUGAGGUA